rnacentral:rRNA from 1 species
UGAGGAAUAUUGGGCAAUGCCCGAAAGGGUGACCCAGCAACGCCGCGUGGAGGAUGAAGGUCGUAAGAUUGUAAACUCCUGUUAGAGGGGAAGAAUAACUAAGUUUGGAGCUUAGUAUGACUGUACCCUCAGAGAAAGCCCCGGCUAACUACGUGCCAGCAGCCGCGGUAAUACGUAGGGGGCAAGCGUUGUCCGGAUUUACUGGGUGUAAAGGGCGCGCAGGCGGAAUGGAAAGUCAGUGGUGAAAUCCUACAGCUUAACUGUAGAACUGCCUUUGAUACUUUCAUUCUUGAGUUCGGGAGAGAGAGACGGAAUUCCAGGUGUAGUGGUGAAAUACGUAGAUAUCUGGAAGAACACCUGUUGCGAAGGCGGUCUCUUGGUCCGAUACUGACGCUGAGGCGCGAAAGCGUGGGGAGCAAACA